GAAAUGCGAUAAGUAAUGCGAAUUGCAGAAUUCAGUGAAUCAUCGAAUCUUUGAACGCACAUUGCGCCCGCUAGUAUUCUGGCGGGCAUGCCUGUCUGAGCGUCAUUUCAACCCUCAUUCCCGGCUUCGUGUCGGGGAUGGUGUUGGGGAUCGGCCUCCCGGUUGCGGGCGGCCGGCCCCGAAAUAGAGUGGCGACCACGCCGUAGCCUCCUCUGCGUAGUAGUGAAAACCUCGCAGGCGGAGAGUGGUGCGGCCUGCCGUAAAACCCCCAACUCUUCUAAGGUUGACCUCAGAUCAGGUAGGAAUACCCGCUGAACUUAAGA
rnacentral:misc_RNA from 1 species